UGCCGUCGUUGGCUUUGAUGGGGUUGCUAUGGUAAUUGGUGCCGAGGGUGAGUUUCUGUGUGAUCGAGCUGGCUGCACGCCCGCGGGGCAGCUCCCCGGGAGCCCCCCGGUACGUGGGUACCAGCCCCUGCACCGCGAUAACCUGUGCUCUUCUGUCCGCAGGGACAGUGACUGGUGCUGUGGCUUCUUUAAGUGAUUAUUCCUAACAGCCAGUAGUAUGCAAAGUUACUGCAAAUGUAGAACAUGUUCCCUGUAUCUUGGUGCAUGUCUGGGCUUCUUCUUCCCUGAGGAUGAGAAAGGAGCAAAGAGCUCCAGACAAGGACACUUCUAAGUAACUGCACUUUGAUCCUUUAUUCCAAUUUCUCUGAUUUGCUGGAGUUUCAAUAUAUCAAAGAUGCACGUAUAGACAAUAAAACAACAUGCACGGAUCAAUCCGGCCAUGAGAAAGAGUUCUUGGACUCAGUCUGGCAGGGAGUGACUUGACAGGGCAUCGAAGGUAUUGCCUUUGGCAAUUGAUGACGCUCUUCAGACGAACAGAACUUCAUGCAUAUUCUCGUUUAUUCAAAGCAAACCACAGCUGACAAACAAAACUCUUCAACCAACAGCAAGGGUUUGUUUCAAAGAAUUGCCACUCCAGAACCUACUUGUUUCUCCAGCUUCUGUAACCAGCAAGACCUAAUGCUAUUCCCUAACUGUUCUUAUCUUACCUGUGCACUGCUGAACAGCCCGAGGUGACAGAUGUGGUCUGGCUGAAGCCUGGAUACUGAACUAUUGCCUUUGCAUUAACCAAAUGAUGUAAUCUGGAGUUUGAAGUUGCUUUAUGCUGACAUUUUAUGCUUGUUAUUUGAGUAUGGACAGUAUCUCAUCAGUUACUCCCCUGUUUCUUUUUUGUGAGAAAUUCAUGACUUUAAAAUUCAUCAAACCUUGAGGGAAGUGAGGACUCCACAGUUGUCAGUGUUGAACCCAUGUCCAUGUACCCCACCAGGUGCUCAGUAGCUUGAUGAGGGUUCAGGUCCUCUUGUGGACUCUGUGUUACCUCAAGCUUUGUGAAUCCCCAGCUAUUUCUUUUCCAAUGCCAUCUGUAACAAGCUCAUGCAUUUUCUCUAAUUUGUGACCUCCUUUUCCCUGUCCUCACUCCCAAAUGUCCCUGCAAAUGCUGUGCCCUUUUUGCUUUGAAAAUCUAUUUUUCAAUCCUAGCAGAAAACGUCAGCUUGCUUCUGAAGUCCUGUUACACCAAAAGACAUGAUACAUUAUCAAAAGAAUCCAUCUCCAUUAAAAUCAUGAUCUACCGUACUUUGCAGAAUUAGUCAGGGGUUCCUUAUAAAUAUGGGUGCAGUUUCUUGCCCUAUACAGGUAUUGUUUAUCCCCUAUUCAUUCCUUCAUGAUUAAUGAUAAGACAAAGAUUUUAGUCAAUUGUAACCAGAGCAGGAAGGAGCAGGGGGGAAGCUCUGUGGCAGGUGGCAGCAAGUUACCGCCACAGGGGCACAAAGGCACUGCCGGCAGGGUUGGAAUGGCAAGCAGAGCUGGCACGGGGCCGAGUGCCAUGGAUUGUCCAAAGAGGCAUCUGUGAAAGGCUCAGGAUCCUGAAUCCUGGCUGAAUCCAAUCCUGCUCUGAACUCGGUGGCAGCUGGGAGUCUCUGCCUUGGGCAGGGAUUGCUGCUGUCAACGAGGUGACUGGCAGUGUCUCUCUCCUUUUGGUCUCAGCAGCCUCUAGUUCCUGCUGAGUUUGUAGCAGCACGUCCAGCAUCUCAUCUCAGAAAUAAAGGUACAAUCUGCUGUGCCACUCCUCAAAGGUACCUGACCCUUUGCAGUGCUGACAGCAUGAAAGAAAACAGAGAUCCCUUAAAUUAAUCCCAUAUUCAGU